rnacentral:misc_RNA from 1 species
AAAAAAAAAAAAAAAAAGAUGAAACCCACAAUCCAGAAGCCAAUCACCAGAGGAAUGAAGGGGAAAGGAGAUCUGCUAGCCUAGUUAACCAUGAGGAGAAUCAAUUCAAUGAAACACCGAUUAACAAAUCCCAAUAUCCAUCCUUCCCAAGCAAAACCACAAAAACACCAUGCAAAGCAACCUUUAGACAACACCAAAGAAAGCUUUCUCUUUAAAAUUCAAGUUGCCAGAAACCUUACGAAAAUCCAUCCAGCAGUGGUGAGAGCUAACCCAUUACUAGGCAAGGAAGGAGGGAGCCCCCUUUGCCCAAAGGGGUAGAGGAGGCCGCUUGAAUGACAAAGGUGAGGGGGACAACGCCCCCAAAUAGAAACCCUAAAAAACAGAGGAGAACUCUCUCUUCUUCCUUUUUACCUUUAGACUUUACCCUUAACAACUCUAUUACAAAAGAUAGAAUAAGGAUUGAGAAAUAUCUUUUCUUUGUUAGCUUAACCAUAAGUUUCUCCCCCUUUCUCUUAAGGCUUUAAACACAAUGUAGUCUUAGGGGAGGUGGUUUGAGCAUCGGCUCUCCCCUACCCCUUUUCUUUAGGUUGCAAUUUUUUAGUUUCUUAGACGUUGCGCUUCUCGUUUUUCCUAGUUUGUUUUAGUCUCUAGCUUUGGAGUCUUAAUAACACUCUUUUGGAUGGAGCUUUUUAUUAUAGGGUUUCUGUGGGGUUGCUCUGUAUGUUACAGUCAGCUUCCCCUACUGUUUAUUGUGAAGCUUUUUAGAGCAAAUCGACGACUGGCAGCUUCAGAGGUUUGGUAUCGAUUUGGUUAUUACUUGUGUCAAGGCUACAUAAGAAUGAAAGACUCAAAGUUUUUCCGAGAGAUUUCUUAGUUCAUCCGGCAUUGGUCCUAGUCCCUAUUUCUCUUUUGACGUUUGUUGCGUAUCUCCUAUUUCCUUUGGGCUUGAAAGUGUUGACCAAGGGAGACCUUUGAUCUGAGUAGGGCACUUAUACACUCCCUUUGCUAUUGAUGAUUAUUCUCCCUUGGAUGUUUGAGUUUCACAUUGCCUUAUAGAGUUCCCUUGGGAGGCCAAUGAAGUGCUGCUGGUGAAGGAGCAGUUGACAUCGGCUGCUACUAAGGGUUGCUUUCGGAUCAUACACGUUUAGUUUAGAGAUCCAUGUUUGUUAGUUUGGGCCCUUUAUCCUUGGCUUUUGGUUGGAAUUGAUGUAAGAAAUUU